rnacentral:rRNA from 1 species
GACGAACGCUGGCGGCGCGCUUAACACAUGCAAGUCGAACGGAAAGGCCUGCUUUCCCUUGUGGAUUGCGGGUACUCGAGUGGCGAACGGGUGAGUAACACGUGAGUGAUCUGCCCCCAACUUGGGUAUAAGCCUGGGAAACUGGGUCUAAUUCCCGAUAGGACUGCAGGGUGGUGCCUGUGGUGGAAAACGAUUUUCUAGUGGUUGGGGAUGAGCUCGCGGCCUAUCAGCUUGUUGGUGGGGUAAUGGCCUACCAAGGCGGCGACGGGUAGCCGGCCUGAGAGGGUGGACGGCCACAUUGGGACUGAGAUACGGCCCAGACUCCUACGGGAGGCAGCAGUGGGGAAUAUAGCACAAUGGGCGGAAGCCUGAUGCAGCGACGCCGCGUGGGGAUGACGGCCUUCGGGUUGUAAACUCCUUUCGACCGCGAGGAAGCCACCUGGUUGGAAGGGUGGUGACGGUAGUGGUAGAAGAAGCACCGGCUAACUACGUG